UCAUGAGUAGGCUAUAAAAUAAUAACACAUUUUUUUAUUGAUGCAGAAGUACAGUAAAGCUGAAAUGAAUGACACGGGGUUGUAUUAUGACAUGAAAAUGUAUUAUCGAUCAUUAUUAUUAAUUUUCCCCAUUAAUGUAUUUAGCACAUUCUUCUCACACAUGUUUAUUUUAUUUUAUUAUGUAAAUUUUGGUGGAAAUUAGCUGUGCAUUAGCUCUUUGGAAAACGUGUCCCCUUUAAGUACUACUAAAACUGGUAUGGGUUUUUUAUUAUUUUUAUUUAGUAUUGAAUGGAGGUGUACUCGGAUCAGGUGACGUUACAGGUGUAGUGUUGCUACAUUAGGUCUUUGUUAACUUUGAUAUAAGUGACAUGGAACUUUUUAGGCCUAUAUAUGUAGUUUUUCACAAUCCUUUGGUUGGUGGUUUUUGUUAUUCAUGUACCAGCUGAAAAUGAUUGACAGCUCUCUGUCCAACCCACUUUCAGCUUCAGUACCAUGGAGAGCAACACAUGAGAACACGCGUGUGCAACUACAGGAUCUCGGCUUUGAAUCAUGCAGUGAUAUUUGACAUGAAUUCUGAUGAGAUCGUUCACACCGGGGUCAUGCGGUUGGGAUUCGGACAUGUCAUGCAUCGGAUUCAGGACCUCAUAUGAAAGCCCAACAUGUUCAGUCUGUUCUCACACAAAGCUCUCGUACGGCUUCAGAAGACAAAGACCAGCCUGAAUAUUUCGCCAAACAUCCUUAAAGAGUCUUGAGGAUGAGCAACAACAUGAUGGAAUCCAAAAAUGAGAUCCCUGGAGUUUGCAACGUGGGAUGGUUUCUUUCCUCCUCCCUCCAAGCAGCAAAAUGUGGAUCUUUGAUAAAAUUGGCGGUUUUACACAAACAGACCCCUGCUGACGGUGUGAAUGACCAGGUCCAUCCCAUCACGGCUGGAACACAGAGGGACGCUCUCAUCCCGAAAGCACCGACACCUGCUGAUCAACAUCAACCUGAGACAGACAAGACACCACAAAAAACAAAACGAUUUCACAAACCUUCCCAGAGGCUGUCUCGGAUGUUUCUCCUAUAGUUGCUCAUGAGAAAUAAGAGUGUCAUUGUAUUUUCAUUUGCUCUCCGUUGAAUCUCAUUGUUGUUUGGAGAAAUAAUUGAGCUAUUAAAGAGAUCUCAUGUGUGGUUUUCUCUUUUACAGGUGAAUUCCACCGAGCGUGCCGAGUGAAGACGAGGCAUCAUUUAGCUGUGAAAGAACGUGUUUUUCUCCUCGGUGUUGAAAACAGAUCCGUUCUGCAGGAAAUCUGGAGGAAAUUGCAGUUUGACUGUCAGAUCAUAUCAUCACAGAAUCCUUUUACUCGGUAUCACAGCCAUCAUCUGUCACACAAACAUCACCGGCUGCUGCUGAAGAUGCUGCGUGCUUGAGUUUAUUUAUGUGACCAGUGUUUCUUUAAAACCUCCAUAAAAAAAUGGAGUUCAGCGAGACAUAAAACCAUUCUGUUGUCAAUUCAUAUUGACACAACUGAGCCAAUUCUAUGAAAACAUUUUGUUGAGACAAAGUAAACCCUCCACAUCUUACAAGCCACCUGCUGUCAUCAUGUGUUUUUCCACACUAUCCACACCAUGACGUGCCAUUUGUUUCUUUUGUCAAUUGGGUUUCUGUUGCAACCUGCAAACCUCCGGAGGCUGAACAUCAUCUUAAGGAUACAUAUGAUAUGUCGUCUCAUUAACCCUUUUUGGCGGGGGGUAUAAUCAUUUUUAAGAGUUCGUGUCAAAUGUCACAUGCAGGAUUUUGUGUUUCUUAAAUAAAGUGCAGUUCUUGCAGUCAAAUCGCUUUGUUUUUACAUUCUGCCCACCAUCUUUUGCCACCUACAAUGUCUUGUUUCUUUCUUGGCAAUUACUUCACCCACACCCUGUUAUGUGCGUGUAUUUGUGUGUUUGUCAUGCCGUGGAUGCAGUCUGGAUGUUGAAACGGCACAAAUCACGCAUCAGAUUCUGUGUUUUGAAAGCACACACAACACACCGUAAGUGCACAAUUUCCCUAUCCAAUAAUAGUUGUUAAAGAAACAUUUGCCGAAGUCUUCUCUCAAGUGUUAUUUUUUUCGUGCAUGUGACGCUGAAUCCUUGAUGCAGUUUUCUUGUGUACAUGUAAAGUUUAUUCGGCCGUACGUCCAGAGGUGUCUCGCAUCUCCUCAGGUAAGCGUUUUGUCAUGUCGCCUUUCAUUCGUGAGUUUUAUUCCCCGUCCCUCUGACCUCGUGUUUUUCUUCCCUGUUGUCUUCUGCCGGUGCUCGUGUGAAAUGCCUGUUUAGGCGACGGCACCCGGCGCUUUGGGGUGAGUUUGGCCCGAUGCCCUUUACCUCCCUCACCGCCCUGUAUGUGUGAUCGCAUUAGCCGUCGCGCAGAGCUCACAGCGGCCGUGGAGGUUUGGGGGUUCCUGCAGAUGGCCGGUAAACUAUGACAGGUCGGACAUCAUGGGACGGGCUGUUAUUAUAAAGUGUUCGCGUCAUGGCAAACACUAAAUUGCUUGGUUGCGGUGGGUGGCUUUUAUAUGGUUUGGGUCCCUCGGAGCCCUUCAAGACCAGACCGAUACAAAGAGCGCAGCGUUUUCACCUUUAAAUGAAUGAUGCUUUUUAAAACACACAAUAAUGAUUCUUGAGUCUGAAUAGCUUAAAGAGUACAUAACAUGAGAUCGUGAAAAUGACAUUUCAUGCAGUGUGUAAUGUGUUUGAAAGUAAGCAGUCUG